rnacentral:rRNA from 1 species
UCCUACGGGGGGCAGCAGUGGGGAAUAUUGGGCAAUGGGCGCAAGCCUGGCCCAGCAACGCCGCGUAAAGGAAGAAGGCUUUCGGGUUGUAAACUUCUUUUAUGAGGGACGAAACAAAUGACGGUACCUCAUGAAUAAGCCACGGCUAACUACGUGCCAGCAGCCGCGGUAAUACGUAGGUGGCAAGCGUUAUCCGGAUUUACUGGGUGUAAAGGGCGUGUAGGCGGGACUGCAAGUCAGAUGUGAAAAUUAUGGGCUCAACCCAUAACCUGCAUUUGAAACUGUAGUUCUUGAGUGAUGGAGAG